CCUUUUUAAAAUUUUUUUUUAAUCAUUGUGUCGGUACUUUAUUUUCUAUAUUAUAAAAUAACUUCGUUCAUUUUGCAAAUGUUUCAAAUGUCAUUAUAUAUUUAUCUUAGACUUGAAAAGAGAUCUUGUCGCGAGACUCUGGAGCUCAAUUUAAAAAUAGUUUUCUGCAUUUUUUUUUUCUUUUUCAUUUUUUAUCUCCAUUAUUCCGAGUUAUUUAGUUCAGACUUGCGCAAAAUUUACAUCGAAGUGUAUUCAAUGCUCAUAACUCUUAAAGCUUUGACGUGCAACCCACUUUUCCCUCUAACUGAAUAGUUUCUUUGCCGCUUAUAUACAAAACGGACACGCAAUUGCCAAUUAAACACCAAAAACUAACAUUCACACAUUAAUGAUGAGGCAAAAAAAAAAAAAAAAACAAUUGGCAAGUGUAUCAAUUUACGAAAAAUCAUUCUUAUGUUACGACACACGAGAAACAGAGAAAAAGCCAAUAAAAAUAACAGAUUCAACUUAUUUACGAUUCUAAAAGUAGUUGAAUAAUAUUUGGAUUUCAAAAACGUAUUUCGAUAAAAAAUAAAUGUCAACUUCAACGAUUCAAUAUGACAAAAACCACUGAAGCUCGUUAUUUUAGGAAAGAGUAAAAAAAAAAAAUUCUAUUUGCCAAGAGUCGCAUGAAAAAUUCCAAUGCAACGAUAAUUUAAAAAAAAAUACAAAAAAAAAAAAUAUAUUCAUAUUUAUUAGAUUCUAGAAAAAAAUAUUCUAAUCUCAAGGAAAAAAAAAGGAAUAAAAACAAAAUGGGAUUCAUGGAUAUUUUCAGCAGAAAAAUUUCGGAAAAUUUCACUUGAAAUAAAAUCUUUUACAACGAAUACGGAAUUUCGAGACUCUAACUGAUCAACUUUCCAAAAAUCAUACGAAAAAAUUUUCGUGUCAAAAAGAAAUCUAUUCAUCAAGACCUAUCAAAAAUAUUCUACUAAAAUGUAGAACUUGGAAAUUUACAACAAAAUUUGGAUUCAUCAAAACUUACCAAAAAUUGUAUUAAAAAAAAAAAUUAGCAAAAAAAUUAAAUUUAACGCAAAAUAAAUUCAAAAUAAUCCACUAAAAAAAAUAGA